rnacentral:rRNA from 1 species
UACGAAGGGGCUAGCGUUGCUCGGAAUCACUGGGCGUAAAGGGUGCGUAGGCGGGUCUUUAAGUCAGGGGUGAAAUCCUGGAGCUCAACUCCAGAACUGCCUUUGAUACUGAGGAUCUUGAGUUCGGGAGAGGUGAGUGGAACUGCGAGUGUAGAGGUGAAAUUCGUAGAUAUUCGCAAGAACACCAGUGGCGAAGGCGGCUCACUGGCCCGAUACUGACGCUGAGGCACGAAAACGUGGGGAGCAAACAGG